AAAUAACCAAACAGGAUUUGAUGGCAAGCAGGUUAUUUAUUUAAUGGCCAGAGAAUGGAGAAGGGGAACUCAUGCUCUAAAGGCACCUUGUCUCUGAUUAGGUCUCACAGUCAGGGUUUUAUGGGGUUAGUGUAAUUAAGGGGCUGAUAAGCAAGCUGAUAUAGAGGGUUUUUUGGGCAGUGGGAGGAUGUUUCUCAGAAUCAGACAGCUCUUUUCUUCCCUUCAAUGGGCACAGUUUGAACUGUCAAGGUGCUGGCAGGUAUUUAGAAGUCAUCAACGUGGUCUUCCUUGUUUCAGAAGUUCAGCACCGCUUGGAGCUUCCUCCACUGAUUGUGCCAUUGCUCUUUUACAUAAGGAACUUGGAGCAUGCUGCUACCCUUGCCUGGAAAGCCCCCUCUCUCAGAAUGCCCUUCGGCCUGCUGACUACCACUGCGAGUAUAUAUAUUUAUACACAGCUAUGUUGAACAGGAGCCUGACUAGGAGCCAUCUUCCAGAUGACAGCCAGAGGAGAGACUUGUAAUUUAGCACUAGUAUGGAUGGAGACAUUCUGUGAUGUAUGGUUUUGGCAAGUGGAGGCCAAGGAAAAAUUAAAAUAUUUCAGUUUUGG
rnacentral:lncRNA from 1 species